rnacentral:lncRNA from 1 species
CUACAAAUGUGUAAUGCAAGAAAGACUAUUUGAAUAGGGACUAAUAUUGUAAGUAGUAGGUUCAUUAGUGAAUUACUUCAUGAUUGUUUCCAUACCAUGAAAGAUGAGCUCUGACUAUUCUUUUGUUGAUCUAGCCCGAAUAACCUAAACUUGAGGAAAUUUGCUGCUGGGAGUGAGUGCAGGUGGGUCUAAGCUCUGUGCAAGGGAAAAGCUUUCUCUGAAGUGGUGUGGAGCCAUGCUGUGUGAGGCUGGAAAGAAGAACUGCUCUCCAGGGGACAUUGGUCUGAGAAUCAAGAACGCAGGAGUUGGUGUGCCAUAUAGGGAACUCUUUCUGCAUGGUCUACAUUUGGGGAAGUGCAGUGUUUCAAAGAAUGGACAGCUCU